rnacentral:rRNA from 1 species
AGACGUCUACAUUAGAUACCCGCGUAGUCCCAGCCGUAAACUAUGCGCGUUAGGUAUAUCGGUGACCACGAGUUACCGAGGUGCCGAAGGGAAACCGUGAAACGUGCCGCCUGGGAAGUACGGUCGCAAGGCUGAAACUUAAAGGAAUUGGCGGGGAGCACCACAACAGGUGGAGCCUGCGGUUUAAUUGGACUCAACGCCGGGAAGCUCACCGGAUAGGACAGCAGAAUGAUUGCCGGGCUGAAGACCCUGCAUGACUAGCUG